rnacentral:rRNA from 1 species
CCUACGGGAGGCAGCAGUGAGGAAUAUUGGUCAAUGGGCGGAAGCCUGAACCAGCCAAGUAGCGUGCGGGAUGAAGGCCCUACGGGUCGUAAACCGCUUUUGCACGGGGAUAACACCCUCCACUUGUGUAGGUCUGCAGGUACCGUGCGAAUAAGGGCCGGCUAAUUCCGUGCCAGCAGCCGCGGUAAUACGGAGGAUGCGCGCGUUAUCCGGAUUUAUUGGGUUUAAAGGGUGCGCAGGCGGAAGCGGCAAGUCAGCGGUAAAAUUUCGGGGCUCAACCUCGCCCAGCCGUUGCAACUGCUAGUCUAGAGUGGGCGAGAAGUAGGCGGAAUGCGUGGUGUAGCGGUGAAAUGCAUAGAUAUCACGCAGAACUCCGAUUGCGAAGGCAGCAUACCGGAGCCCAACUGACGCUCAUGCACGAAAGCGUGGGUAUCGAACAGGAUUAGAUACCCGUGUAGUC